ACUCGAGCGGCGAACGGGUGAGUAACACGUGAGUAAUCUGCCUCUGGCUUCGGGAUAGCCACCGGAAACGGUGAUUAAUACCGGAUAUGACAUCUUCACGCAUGUGAUGGGUGUGGAAAGUUUUUUCGGCCAGGGAUGUGCUCGCGGCCUAUCAGCUUGUUGGUGGGGUAAUGGCCUACCAAGGCUUCGACGGGUAGCCGGCCUGAGAGGGUGACCGGCCACACUGGGACUGAGACACGGCCCAGACUCCUACGGGAGGCAGCAGUGGGGAAUAUUGGACAAUGGGCGGAAGCCUGAUCCAGCAACGCCGCGUGAGGGAUGACGGCCUUCGGGUUGUAAACCUCUUUCAGCACAGACGAAGCGCAAGUGACGGUAUGUGCAGAAGAAGGACCGGCCAACUACGUGCCAGCAGCCGCGGUAAUACGUAGGGUCCGAGCGUUGUCCGGAAUUAUUGGGCGUAAAGGGCUCGUAGGCGGUUUGUCGCGUCGGGAGUGAAAACACCGGGCUUAACUCGGUGCUUGCUUUCGAUACGGGCAGACUAGAGGCAUUCAGGGGAGAACGGAAUUCCUGGUGUAGCGGUGAAAUGCGCAGAUAUCAGGAGGAACACCGGUGGCGAAGGCGGUUCUCUGGGAAUGUCCUGACGCUGAGGAGCGAAAGUGUGGGGAGCGAA
rnacentral:rRNA from 1 species